rnacentral:rRNA from 1 species
UACGUAGGGUGCAAGCGUUGACCGGAAUUAUUGGGCGUAAAGAGCUCGUAGGCGGCUUGUCGCGUCGAAUGUGAAAUCUCAGGGCUCAACUCUGACAUUGCAUUCGAUACGGGCAGGCUAGAGUUCGGUAGGGGAGACUGGAAUUCCUGGUGUAGCGGUGAAAUGCGCAGAUAUCAGGAAGAACACCUAUGGCGAAAGCAGCUCUCUGGGACGGUACUGACGCUGAGACGCGAAAGCGUGGGGAGCGAACAGG